GAUGAACGCUGGCGGCGUGCCUAAUACAUGCAAGUCGAGCGAAUGGAUUAAGAGCUUGCUCUUAUGAAGUUAGCGGCGGACGGGUGAGUAACACGUGGGUAACCUGCCCAUAAGACUGGGAUAACUCCGGGAAACCGGGGCUAAUACCGGAUAACAUUUUGAACCGCAUGGUUCGAAAUUGAAAGGCGGCUUCGGCUGUCACUUAUGGAUGGACCCGCGUCGCAUUAGCUAGUUGGUGAGGUAACGGCUCACCAAGGCAACGAUGCGUAGCCGACCUGAGAGGGUGAUCGGCCACACUGGGACUGAGACACGGCCCAGACUCCUACGGGAGGCAGCAGUAGGGAAUCUUCCGCAAUGGACGAAAGUCUGACGGAGCAACGCCGCGUGAGUGAUGAAGGCUUUCGGGUCGUAAAACUCUGUUGUUAGGGAAGAACAAGUGCUAGUUGAAUAAGCUGGCACCUUGACGGUACCUAACCAGAAAGCCACGGCUAACUACGUGCCAGC
rnacentral:rRNA from 1 species